CUCCUUUCCUUCUGCUGAGUAAUAUUCUACAAUAUUAAUAUACCAUAGUGUUUAUCUGUUGUGUUAGGCAUAAUUUUGGCUGCCAUGGCUUUUGCCCCUGGUGUUACAUCCAUGAGUAUGUUACAUUAUGGUGUAAAAGGGACUUUAUGGAUGUAAUUAAAGUCACUAGUAAAUUGACCUUAAAAUAGGGAGAUUAGCUUAGAUUAUCUGGGUGGGCCCAAUAUAAUUACACGAACUCCUAAAAGCAGAAAGAUUCAAAACAUGAGAAGGACUUGAUCCACCAUUGCUGGCUUAAAGAUACAUGAGAAAGAAAUGAAAUUCUGCCAACAAACAGUGGACUUAGAAGAGGACCUGUGCUCCAUAUGGAACUGAUGGCCAGCCAACAGCCUGACUGCAGCCUUGUGAGACCAAUAGAAGAGAACCCAGAUGAGCCAUGCUGAGUCUGGACUUCUGACCUACAGAAAAGCUUCGCAGUUUUCUCUGUGGGAUCCCAGCUGUCUCAGACAUCUCUCUCCAUGAUCCAUACCUGAGCUGUGAGUCUUCUCCCCCCUCCUUUAUCUGAUAUCCUGCCUUCCCACUGGGGCAACCCCACAAGAGAUGUCUCUAGUUGGCCAUCUUGCCAGAGUUCUCCACAAGCUUUCAAUUUGUGAAAAAAAUGCAAUAUCUGUAAGUUGCAAUAAAAUGCACUUCAAUAAAAUGAGGCUUGCCUGUA